rnacentral:rRNA from 1 species
UACGUAGGGUGCGAGCGUUGUCCGGAAUUACUGGGCGUAAAGAGCUCGUAGGCGGUUUGUCACGUCGUCUGUGAAAUCCUCCAGCUUAACUGGGGGCGUGCAGGCGAUACGGGCAGACUUGAGUACUACAGGGGAGACUGGAAUUCCUGGUGUAGCGGUGAAAUGCGCAGAUAUCAGGAGGAACACCGGUGGCGAAGGCGGGUCUCUGGGUAGUAACUGACGCUGAGGAGCGAAAGCAUGGGUAGCGAACAGGAUUAGAUACCCCCGUA